rnacentral:rRNA from 1 species
UACGGAGGGUGCAAGCGUUGUCCGGAAUCACUGGGCGUAAAGGGCGCGUAGGCGGCUCAUGAAGGCUGUGGUGAAAGUCCGGGGCUCAACCUCGGAUCGGCCGUGGCGACUCGUGGGCUGGAGCACUGUAGAGGCGGGGUGGAAUUCCGGGUGUAGCGGUGGAAUGCGUAGAGAUCCGGAAGAACACCAGUGGCGAAGGCGGCCCGCUGGGCAGUGGCUGACGCUGAGGCGCGAACAGCGUGGGGAGCAAACGAG